rnacentral:lncRNA from 1 species
GGUAAUAUCAGAUUUUCAAGAGGUUUAGACUGACCCAUCUUUAUCUCAGGUACUGCAAAAAGUCCCAAACAGAGACAAGUCAGGAUAAUCUCUUGUCAAGAUAAUGAAAGCAAGAUUAAAGCAAACCUCUGGGGCAACAAAGCAAUGAAGCCCCCGGCUCACCUCGAUCCGUUUGAAGAAGGCGUCAAAUAGAUCCUUUGCCGAAAAAACAGGAGAAUCUCGCUGGAGGAAGAAAACAG